rnacentral:rRNA from 1 species
AGUGGCAAACGGGUGAGUAACACGUAGGUAAUCUACCUUUUGGCGGGGGACAACUUCGGGAAACCGGAGCUAAUACCGCAUAUGCUUGGAAGUCAUAAGGCUUCCUUGUGAAAGCCUUCGGGCACCAGAAGAUGAGCCUGCGUCCUAUUAAUUGGAUUGUUGGUGAGGUAAUGGCUCACCAAGUCCACGAUGGGUAGCCGGCCUGAGAGGGUGAUCGGCCACACUGGAACUGAGACACGGUCCAGACUCC